GAUGAACGCUAGCGGCAGGCCUAAUACAUGCAAGACGAACGGUAAGUUGAGUAGCAAUACUUAGCCAAGAGUGUCGUACGGGUGCGUAACACGUAUGCAACCUACCCUAUACAGGAGGAUAGCCUAGGGAAACCUGGAUUAACCCUUCAUAGUAUUAUUGGAUGGCAUCAUUUGAUAAUUAAAACUGAGGUGGUAUAGGAUGGGCAUGCGUCUGAUUAGUUAGUUGGCGGGGUAAUGGCCCACCAAGACGAUGAUCAGUAGGGGUUCUGAGAGGAAGAUCCCCCACACUGGCACUGAGAUACGGGCCAGACUCCUACGGGAGGCAGCAGUAGGGAAUAUUGGUCAAUGGAUGCAAGUCUGAACCAGCCAUGCCGCGUGCAGGAAGAAGGCCUUCUGGGGUUGUAAACUGCUUUUGAUAGGGAACAAAUGCCACUUGCGAGUGGAGCUGAGUGUACCUAUAGAAUAAGCACCGGCUAACUCCGUGCCAGCAGCC
rnacentral:rRNA from 1 species